rnacentral:rRNA from 1 species
UACGGGGGGGGCAAGCGUUGUUCGGAAUUACUGGGCGUAAAGGGCUUGUAGGUGGCCAACUAAGUCCGACGUGAAAUCCCUAGGCUUAACCUAGGAACUGCGUCGGAUACUGGAUGGCUUGAAUCCGGGAGAGGGAUGCGGAAUUCCAGGUGUAGCGGUGAAAUGCGCAGAUAUCGGGAGGAACACCAAUGGCGAAGGCAGCUCGCUGGGACGUGACUGACGCUGAGACGCGAAAGCGUGGGGAGCAAACAGG